rnacentral:rRNA from 1 species
GAUGAACGCUGGCGGCGUGCUUAACACAUGCAGGUCGAGCGAACGGACGAGAAGCUUGCUUCUCUGAUGUUAGCGGCGGACGGGUGAGUAACAUGUGCAUAACCUACCUAUAAGACUGGGAUAACUUCGGGAAACCGGAGCUAAUACCGGAUAAUAUUUUGAACCGCAGGGUUCAAAAGUGAAAGACGGUCUUGCUGUCCCUUAUAGAUGGAUGCGCGCUGCUUUAGCUAGUUGGUAAGGUAACGGCUUACCAAGGCAACGAUGCAUAGCCGACCUGAGAGGGUGAUCGGCCACACUGGGACUGAGACACGGUCCAGACUCCUACGGGAGGCAGCAGUAGGGAAUGUUCGGCAAUGGGCGAAAGCCUGACGGAGCAACGCCGCGUGAGUGAUGAAGGUCUUCGGGUCGUAAAACUCUGUUAGUAGGGAAGAACAUAUGUGUAAGUAGCUGAGCACAUCUUGACGGUACCUGAAGAGAAAGCAACGGCUAACUACGUG